GAAAGCAACAUGGCGUACGAGUAAAGGUGUGAAAAUGUGGACAAAAUGUUGUCGAAUUUAUACCUGAUAUAUCACCCUGAGUAGGGAAUCCAUUCACAAAAGGAAUGGCACACAUAAGAAGAGAGAAGCAGGACUUGAAGAUAUUUUGAAUGGCCUGCAAGAAGUUGACAGCAUCAUAACACUUGGACUUAUCUGUAAUGGCUGACAAGCUGAAAAUAGGAUGAGAUAACAAUUUAGGAACAGGUAUGAAUUAUAUAGAUUGGCUUUACAAAUUUUUAAGAUAAAGUACUGUACACUGAUGUACCCUACUAAACUACAACUUGAUACACAUAUUUUUAUAGAGCGUUUUCACAUGACAUCACAGCGACCAUUAUGGGGUACCAAAACAAUACAUUUUCUAUCCUCCGGGAAUUUAACUCUAUUUUUAUGCAAAUACUGCGUAGAAAGUUUCUAUUGUUUAUGGCUGCCUUGUCACAUGAGUGAAAAUGCUCUAUGGCACUAAACAUAAAGUUUACUGUACAAUGCUAUAUUAUGCUGCAGGGCUUGAAAAUAACGGCCAGACGUCAGACAAUGUCCGGCCAGAACGGGACUUGUCCAGUCAAAUAUAAUUGCCUCACAAGUCGUUUUGACCAGUAAGGUUUGCCAGAAUGAGGUAUGACUGAGCUAUUUACUUCAAUAUCCAUAUAGCAACAAGGUGAGUCCACAUUCUUAUGAAGGUCACAGGGUCAUCACCAGGUUACCACAUCAUUAAUUAGGUCAAUACUCAUAAAUUAACAAGGUGAGUCCAUAUUGCUAUCAAAGUCUUUUUCUUUUGUUUUAAUGCAGUUAAUCCAUUAUUACAAGAUAGAUANUGGACUAUUCCAUGAUAAGCUUGCUGGUUGGUGUGUAUAUAUAUUGGCUAUCAGCCUCAGAUGUCAGGUAUGAACAGCCGCCAUCUUGUUCAAGCUCACUGGAAAGUUUUAUGGAGUAUUUUUCGUGUAAUCAGUAUUUCUAUAGCUGCAAUACAAAAACAUAAGUCAUUGAGACAUUAAUAUUUCGGAUUUUGGUGGUUCUAAUGAGGUAGGAAUGUCUUGAAACUUACACGAACCAAGUUCCGUGUAACAUUCAAACCCAAAGUUUCAAAAAAUGUUAAAAUAUGAAAAUAUUCUUAAGGUAAGUUUACAUACUGUUUGAAAACUUCAUGAAACAUUGUUAUUUGUUAUCAAUUUUAUCAUUUCUUUUCAGAAAAGGUGGAUUUUUCAGGUUUCAAAGUUAGCACGUGUCAUGGCGGACGAAGCCGAUGAAACGAACAUUCGAAGUUUUUUAAACUGGUCAAAAAUACAGAAAAACGAAAGAAAAACGCAGAAAAAACGAAAUAACUCUUACCUUUCAUAGUUCUCGUGUGCUUCUCUCUCUGUUAGGUCAAGCACGAGCUAAUAACCAUCUUUGUUCUUGUACAAUUUCAGCCUAAAAGCCCAUCGUGUUUUGCACCCGUUGAAACACAUCCACAACGAACAGCAGCGUGCAACAAAUGAAGAGGUGACAUGCACAGGGACUGGAUACUAGCAUUUUACACAGGGAUCCCGCAAAAACCGGACUUUUUGGCGAGAAAAUAACGAAAAUUAAACGGUUUUUGGUCAUUAUUUUUUGCCGAACACGUAANAAAUAAGUAGAGAAGGCUGUUUUAGCACUCUACGGAGGGUAAAACCCUGGGAAAAUGCCUGUUUUAAGCAAAAAAUAAAAAUAUGCUAAUUAGUCACGUGACAAGUCACGUGACCCAAUAUUUUUCAUUUUUUNGGUCAGUUUUUCAAUUUUUUGAUCUUGGAAAAAAUAAAUUGGUAGGGUUAAGUUAAUUUCAUUUCCUUUUAUUAUCUAUUCAAUGAAGCGGUUUAUAAUAAAAGACCAUUGAACCUU
rnacentral:lncRNA from 1 species